GACACGGUGGCUUAGUGGUUAGCACCUCGCACCUCUGGGGUUGGGGUUCGAUUCCCACCUCUGCCC